UACAGAGGUGGCAAGCGUUGUUCGGAAUUACUGGGCGUAAAGGGCGCGUAGGCGGCCUUCUAAGUCAGACGUGAAAUCCCCCGGCUUAACCUGGGAACUGCGUCUGAUACUGGAAGGCUUGAGUGCGGGAGAGGGAUGUGGAAUUCCAGGUGUAGCGGUGAAAUGCGUAGAUAUCUGGAGGAACACCGGUGGCGAAGGCGGCAUCCUGGACCGGCACUGACGCUGAGGCGCGAAAGCUAGGGUAGCAAACGGG
rnacentral:rRNA from 1 species